GACGAACGCUGGCGGCGUGCUUAACACAUGCAAGUCGAACGGAAAGGCCCUGCUUUUGUGGGGUGCUCGAGUGGCGAACGGGUGAGUAACACGUGAGUAACCUGCCCUUGACUUUGGGAUAACUUCAGGAAACUGGGGCUAAUACCGGAUAGGAGCUCCUGCUGCAUGGUGGGGGUUGGAAAGUUUCGGCGGUGGGGGAUGGACUCGCGGCUUAUCAGCUUGUUGGUGGGGUAGUGGCUUACCAAGGCUUUGACGGGUAGCCGGCCUGAGAGGGUGACCGGCAACAUUGGGACUGAGAUACGGCCCAGACUCCUCCGGGAGGCAGCGGUGGGGAAUAUUGCACAAUGGGCGGAAGCCUGAUGCAGCAACGCCGCGUGCGGGAUGACGGCCUUCGGGUUGUAAACCGCUUUCGCAUGUGACGAAGCGUGAGUGACGGUAAUGGGUAAAGAAGCACCGGCUAACUACGUG
rnacentral:rRNA from 1 species